GAUGAACGCUGGCGGCGUGCCUAAUACAUGCAAGUCGAGCGAACGGACGAUAAGCUUGCUUCUCUGAUGUUAGCGGCGGACGGGUGAGUAACACGUGGAUAACCUACCUAUAAGACUGGGAUAACUUCGUGAAACCGGUGCUAAUACCGGAUAAUAUUUUGAACCGCAUGGUUCAAAAGUGAAAGACGGUCUUGCUGUCACUUAUAGAUGGAUCCGCGUUGCAUUAGCUAGUUGGUAAGGUAACGGCUUACCAAGGCAACGAUGCAUAGCCGACCUGAGAGGGUGAUCGGCCACACUGGAACUGAGACACGGUCCAGACUCCUACGGGAGGCAGCAGUAGGGAAUCUUCCGCAAUGGGCGAAAGCCUGACGGAGCAACGCCGCGUGAGUGAUGAAGGUCUUCGGAUCGUAAAACUCUGUUAUUAGGGAAGAACAUAUGUGUAAGUAACUGUGGACAUCUUGACGGUACCUAAUCAGAAAGCCACGGCUAACUACGUG
rnacentral:rRNA from 1 species